ACGCAAUAGAUACCCGGGUAGUCCACGCCCUAAACGAUGUCUACUAGUUGUCGGGUCUUAAUUGACUUGGUAAACGCAGCUAAACGCGUGAAGUAGACCGCCUGGGGAGUACGGUCGCAAGAUUAAAACUCAAAGGAAUUGACGGGGACCCGCACAAGCGGUGGAUGAUGUGGAUUAAUUCGAUGCAACGCGAAAAACCUUACCUACCCUUGACAUGGAUGGAAUCCCUGAGAGAUUGGGGAGUGCUCGAAAGAGAACCAUUACACAGGUGCUGCAUGGCUGUCGUCAGCUCGUGUCGUGAGAUGUUGGGUUAAGUCCCGCAACGAGCGCAACCCUUGUCAUUAGUUGCUACGAAAGGGCACUCUAAUGAGACUGCCGGUGACAAACCGGAGGAAGGUGGGGAUGACGUCAAGUCCUCAUGGCCCUUAUGGGUAGGGCUUCACACGUCAUACAAUGGUACAUACAGAGGGCCGCCAACCCGCGAGGGGUAGCUAAUCCCAGAAAGUGUAUCGUAGUCCGGAUUGUAGUCUGCAACUCG
rnacentral:rRNA from 1 species